UACCCGCAGCACAAGUGGUGGUCAUUAUUAUUGGGCCUAAAGCGUCCGUAGCUGGCUUGUUAGAUGCCUGGGUAAAUCGAUGCGCUCAACGUAUCGAAUUCCGGGUAGACCGGCAAGCUCGAGACCGGGAGAGGUGUAGGCUACUCGAGGGGUAGGGGUAAAAUCCUGUAAUCUUUCGGGGAGGACCAGUGGCGAAGGCGCUACACUAGAACGGCUCUGACAGUGAGGGACGAAGCCCUGGGGCGCAAACCGG
rnacentral:rRNA from 1 species